rnacentral:rRNA from 1 species
UUCUUUAAUUGUGGGCUGGAAUGAAUGGUGGAAACUAGAGAGGAUUUGUUUUUGUUAAUUAGUUUGAAUUUAGAUUAAAAGUUAGAAUACUUUUAUUAAUCUUAGGGACGAGAAGACCCUAGAAGCUACAAAAUUAAUUUUUUUAUUGGGGCAAUUUUUGAAGAGAGAAAUUUUUUUAAUGAAAAUGUAAAGGAGAAUAAGUUACUCUAGGGAUAACAGCAUUAUUAAUUUAAAGAGUUCUUAUCAAUAAAUUAGUUUAUGACCUCGAUGUUGAAUUAAAU